UACGUAGGUGGCAAGCGUUGUCCGGAAUUACUGGGCGUAAAGAAUGCGUAGGUGGAUAGAUAAGUCAGAUGUGAAAUACCCGGGCUCAACUUGGGUGCUGCAUUUGAAACUGUCUAUCUGGAGUGCAGGAGAGGUAAGUGGAAUUCCUAGUGUAGCGGUGAAAUGCGUAGAGAUUAGGAAGAACACCAGUGGCGAAGGCGACUUACUGGACUGUAACUGACACUGAGGCAUGAAAGCGUGGGGAGCAAACAGG
rnacentral:rRNA from 1 species